CUGGAGUCACUUGUAGCAAUCAUAACUGUAUCUGUAUAAUGUCUUCACUUCAGUUUCCACUGACUUUUGAAGAUGUGGACAUUUAUUUCUCUGAGCAAGAGUGGCAGUAUUUAGAAGCAUGUCAGAAGGAACUUUACAAGCAUGUCAUGAGAACCAAUUAUGAGACUCUUGUCUCUCUAGAUAAUGGACAUCCAAAACCAGAACUAAUAUCCUGGAUUGAACUUGGGAGAGAGCUCUUUGUCAUCUGGGGAGAAAAGCAGAACCUAGAGAAAGGGAUUUGCUUCUCUACAGACGAUGUGCACUUUCAUCUAGUUAUUGAGGAAUGGUUAUUUGAGAGUAGUCAGCAAGCUGUGAAGUCAAGAGAAACCACAUGCCACCUUCAGUUAAAUCUUGAAAGUCAGCAUUCCUUUGGGCUUGUUUUAGGAGAAAAGGAAGCUGUUUCCUUUAAGCAUGACCAAGGU